rnacentral:rRNA from 1 species
GUGGGGAAUCUUGCGCAAUGGGCGAAAGCCUGACGCAGCCAUGCCGCGUGAAUGAUGAAGGUCUUAGGAUUGUAAAAUUCUUUCACCGGGGACGAUAAUGACGGUACCCGGAGAAGAAGCCCCGGCUAACUUCGUGCCAGCAGCCGCGGUAAUACGAAGGGGUCUAGCGUUGCUCGGAAUUACUGGGCGUAAAGGGCGCGUAGGCGGACAGUGAAGUUGGGGGUGAAAGCCCGGGGCUCAACCUCGGAACUGCCUUCAAUACUGGCUGUCUUGAGGAUGAGAGAGGUGUGUGGAACUCCGAGUGUAGAGAUGAAAUUCUUAGAUAUUCGGAAGAACACCAGUGGCGAAGGCGACACACUGGCUCAUUACUAACGCUGAUGCGCGACAGCGUGGGGAGCAAACAGGAUUAGAAACCCGGGUAGUCC